GAUGAACGCUGGCGGCGUGCCUAAUACAUGCAAGUCGAGCGAACAGACGAGGAGCUUGCUCCUCUGACGUUAGCGGCGGAAGGGUGAGUAACACGUGGAUAACCUACCUAUAAGACUGGGAUAACUUCGGGAAACCGGAGCUAAUACCGGAUAAUAUAUUGAACCGCAUGGUUCAAUAGUGACAGACGGUUUUGCUGUCACUUAUAGAUGGAUCCGCUCCGCAUUAGCUAGUUGGUAAGGUAACGGCUUACCAAGGCGACGAUGCGUAGCCGACCUGAGAGGGUGAUCGGCCACACUGGAACUGAGACACGGUCCAGACUCCUACGGGAGGCAGCAGUAGGGAAUCUUCCGCAAUGGGCGAAAGCUUGACGGAGCAACGCCGCGUGAGUGAUGAAGGUCUUCGGAUCGUAAAACUCUGUUAUUAGGGAAGAACAAAUGUGUAAGUAACUAUGCACGUCUUGACGGUACCUAAUCAGAAAGCCACGGCUAACUACGUG
rnacentral:rRNA from 1 species